CUAAUACCGCAUGACGUUCCGGGUUUGAAGACCUGGAAACCAAAGCCGGGGACCGCAAGGCCUGGCGCUGGAGAGGAGCCCGCGCCUGAUUAGCUGGUUGGUGGGGUAACGGCCCACCAAGGCGACGAUCAGUAGCCGGCCUGAGAGGGCGGACGGCCACACUGGGACUGAGACACGGCCCAGACUCCUACGGGAGGCAGCAGUGGGGAAUUGUUCGCAAUGGGCGCAAGCCUGACGACGCAACGCCGCGUGGAGGAUGAAGGUCUUCGGAUUGUAAACCCCUGUUGAUCGGGACGAAUGGGCUCCAACCCAACACGUUGGGGCAGUGACGGUACCGAUUGAGGAAGCCACGGCUAACUCUGUGCCAGCAGCCGCGGUAAUACAGAGGUGGCAAGCGUUGUUCGGAAUUACUGGGCGUAAAGGGCGCGUAGGUGGCUGUCUAAGUCCGACGUUAAAUCCCCAGGCUUAACGUGGGAAGUGCGUCUGACACUGGAGACAAUGAGCUAGGGAGACGUACGGUAAAAUUCAGGGCUAGGGGUCAAUUGCGUAGAGAUCGUGAGCCCACCGGGCCGGAUGGUGAUUCCUCGACGGAAGGCCGCUACCCCACCAACCAGCUAAUCAGGCGCGGGCUCCUCUCCAAGCGCCAGGCCUUGCGGUCCCCGGCUUUGGUUUCCAGGUCUUCAAACCCGGAACGUCAUGCGGUAUUAGCGCUCCUUUCGGAACGUUAUCCCCCACUCAGAGGUAGAUCACCCACGUGUUACUCACCCGUUCGCCACUCUACUCAGGGCCGAAGCCCCUUUCGCGUUCG
rnacentral:rRNA from 1 species